rnacentral:tRNA from 1 species
GGUGGAGCAGCUUGGUAGCUCGUCGGGCUCAUAACCCGAAGGUCGUCGGUUCAAAUCCGGCCC